rnacentral:rRNA from 1 species
AGCAGCCGCGGUAAUUCCAGCUCCAAUAGCGUAUAUUAAAGUUGUUGCAGUUAAAAAGCUCGUAGUUGAAUUUCGGGAUCAAUACGUCGGUCGUGCCUCCGGUACGUACUGGUGUUGUUGAUUUCUCCCUUCUGAUGAACCACGAUGUCAUUAAUUUGGUGUUGUGGGGAGUCAGGACUGUUACUUUGAAAAAUUAGAGUGUUUAAAGCAGGCAAACGCUUGAAUACAUUAGCAUGGAAUAAUGAAAUAGGACGUUCGAACCUAUUUUGUUGGUUUCUAGGAUCAACGUAAUGAUUAAUAGGGAUAGUUGGGGGCAUUAGUAUUCAAUUGUCAGAGGUGAAAUUCUUGGAUUUAUUGAAGACUAACUACUGCGAAAGCAUUUGCCAAGGAUGUUUUCAUUAAUCAAGAACGAAAGUUAGGGGAUCGAAGACGAUCAGAUACCGUCGUAGUCUUAACCAUAAACUAU